ACAAACCAUGAGAUCUUGACCUGAGGCGAAGUCGGAUGCUUAACCAACUGAGCCACCCAGGCACCCCAGCAGCGUAUUCUUUACAAGGCAAAUAUUGCCAGGUUCCUGAAUGUGAAUUUUCUUGUGCUCUCAGAAUGAAAUGAGAGAACCAUCACCAGUGUGUGGUCUCUUUGGGGCAGGCGCCCAAGGAUCUCUCUGCCCCACCUUAGCCACCACCUGGUGGCCCCUUGCAGGCUGUGCCCUGUGGAAGGCAGGUGCUGAGUUUAGCUGGGAUCCGACUGGACUCCCGUGGAAAACCGCUACUCUGUGCACUGGGCUGAAGUUUUUCUAUCACAAAAUCAAAUCAUGAUAGUGUUCUUUCAAAUCACAGAACAAUUAAAGUAAGGGAUAGAACAUUUUCGGUUACACGUUUUCUCCCACCUGCUGUGUUUCAUUCGCACCACGAUCAGGUAUAUGAUGGGUGUCUGAUUUAGCCCCCGAAUUAAGUUUGACCCGUUGGUAUUUCCUACUGUUCUCUGCAAGGCCACUUGAAGACACCCGGGGACUGCUGGCCUGGAAUAUCAGAGCUGGAAACUGCCCUCAGGGACUGUAGGCUCUGUACUGAUGCCCACCUCCCUGCACCUGCAGCCCCAUUACGUCCGCACUCCCCUCGCCUCUCACCCCUGUACUCAAGGCCCAUGGUUCUGCUUCUCUGCAAGGGCUUUGCUCACAGCCUCUCUCUGCCUGCUGUGUCUCCCAUCUCCCACUCAGUCAUUACUCCUCUGGUAGGUCAUCCCUGACCUGCCCCUGCCCACCCCAGGCCAGGUCAAACCCCCAUCACAGGCUUUCAUAGCACCGCAUACCAGUGCUAAUCAUGGCUACAUUUUAAUGUUUGUUUAUGGAAUCAUUUGAUUCAUGUCUGUCUUCCCCAGCAGAAUGUGACUCUUCCAAAGACAGGGAAUGGGGACCGUGUGUGUGUGUGUGUGUGUGUGUGUGUGUGUGUGUGUGUGUAUGAUUCCUUACCAUAACUUCCACUGUGCUGGGCACAGUGCUUGAACAUAUUAAGCACUCGAUAAAUAUCUGCUGGUUGAAUGCCUGUGUAGUGCUGUAUAUUUCUUUAGACUCCUUCUGACAGCAGUGACUCCAUUUUGCAAACGGAGAGACUGAGGCCCAGAGAUGUGACUUGCCUUGGCCAGCGUCCUGCAGCUGGAAAGGGCCAGAGCUGGGCUUGGAACCCAGGCCUCUGACUCAGUCCGGUGCCCUUUGCACCCCUGCAGGCUGCCAGCUUCCCUCGAGGUCUGGUGGGUUAAACAGAAACAAAAAGUUCAGAGGAGACUUACCAGAAGGCAGCGUGGUUACCAGCAAUGACUUCACCUCAGGCAGCGAGAGGCUUUGCACAUAGAGCUGAAAGAGAAUACCUUUGGCAUGAAUGAGCUGGGCCGCUGGGCUCUGGCUGACUCACGAGAGGUUUUCACUUUAUAAGGACUUUCUUGGGGUCCCCCUGGGCGUGCCUUUCGCCCUGCCUCCAGGUCUGGGAGAGGGUAGGCAGGGUGAGUGCAGGUUGUAGGGCUCACAGCCCGCAGGCCCGGCUCUGCCAGCUCUGUGUCCGGGGGUCCGCACCUCCUCCUCUGUCUGGAACCCGUCUCUCCUGCCCUGGGUGUGAGCAGGCUCACGUUAAUAGCACCCACCCAGAUUUCAGUGGGUCUGGCUGCGAGCUGCUCCUCAGGACGUCUGGCCCCUGCAGACCGCCCCCCCCCCUCCGCCGGAGAAGCUGGGAGUCCAAGUGUACCUCCCGAGUCCUGAGGGCUCAACCCCUCUCCUUUCAGCCCUUUAUUUUUGCCAUUCUUCUCCUCCUCAGUGUCUUUUGCCCUUGAAGUCACUUAAGGGGUCUGGCCAGUGCUGUCUGUAGGAAUGCGGAGAUUCAUCCCAAGAGCCGUUUCCCAAAGCGCCCCCCCCCCGCACCCCCCAUUUCUGGACCCACAGAGCUGCGUUCUCGGCAGGGAAGGACCACUCUUACUGCCCCGUUCACACCGUCCUCCCUGUGGACAGCACUGCCUGUCCCUGCCUGGGCACCUCCUCCCAGGGCACGCACACCUGUGCCACCGCCCCAGCCCCAUCUUCCCGCCUCUUCUUUCAAACGACCCUUCCCCCCCCCGUGCCCCCGCCCGAGAGCCACUCAAGCAAACCCAUGCCCGUGCACAGCCAUUCUUGCCGGCCGGCCCGUCACACAGCCCCCAGCUGUGUUUUCAUCUUGGCGGGGUGAGAACAGUGAGGACCCCCAGUCCCUUCCACGCACCCCUCAGACUUCUCACGGCCUGGAAGGUUGGGUUAUCACGCACCAUUUCAGAGAUGGAGAAGCUGAGGCUCAGGGAGGUGGAAAUCUGCCAAGGUCUCAUAGCCGGAGGGACAGGGGUGGCACGGGAAUGGGUGUCUUUGGUCCCACUUUCCUGCGGCCAUCAACAGGGCAUACGGCAUUUCCUGUGACCCCCGCCUGCUGCAGCGGUUCACAUCUGGGAUCAGGUGGGGUGGGACCUACAGUAAGAGGAAGGCAGGGAGGUGAUCCCUGGGAUUCUUAGCACCUGCUAUAGCUGUUAGAAAUCGUUGCCAGGUUAUGUCACACGUUGGUGACCCACUGAUCCAUGUGUGUUUCUGCUUGGUCUGAAUUGGAUAACGAUUAAGCCGAAGGCUGAGGGUUCGGAAGGGGAAGGGAAGUGUGGAUUAUGAUCCGGGACCAUAGACUCUCUCCGGUGGGAGUCUGGAUGGGUGGGAGCCAGAGCAGUGACUCAGCAAACCCCUGGCAGUCAGUGUCCAAUGCCUUAGUUUAGCUGGGCCCGGAGCAGACUGUGGCUUUGACAUCAGGCAAACAGAGCUGAAUUCUACCCCGUUUCUGCGGUUGUCUAGCUGUGGACCUUGGGAGAGUCCCUCCUACCUCUGAGCCUCGUAUUCUCGCCUGUGAAAAGAAUUGUAAAAUCCCCUUCUUUACGAGGAGGUCAAAAAGAUUACAUGAGAUAAACCAGGGAAAGGGUUUUGCAUGUAGGGCGUGCUCCAUAAAUGCGGGCUUUCCAUCCCCUCCCACCAGACGGAACAUCAGGGUUAAUUUUCAACAGCUCUGGGGUUAGAUGAACCCUAGAUCUGAAGCUCACCGGUCUCGUUUCCUGGUUGUUCAACCUGGAGAAAGGGAUUCCCUCCUCCACCCCCCACCCCGGCCAGAGACCCAGCUUCGUCUGUAGUAACAGGAAUGAGGACACAGAUCUCAUUACCCUGAACGCUGUUAGGAAGGAACCACUGAGGACAGCAAAGAUGGGCUGGUGCCAGGAAAAAGGUGAGGAGGAAGGAGCCAGCAUCUGGAACACGAACUGAAGUUUGGAAAAUGACAAGAGCAUCUUACAGAUAGAGCGGGUGGUUGACGUCUGCAGAGCCAGCGGGGCACUGUCUCAUGAUGCCUUUGGUUUGUUGCCUCAUAUCCCUUUGUUUACCCGUUCAGUCCUUUGUUCCUUCCUUCUUCCCUCUGUUCGUUCUUUUACUAAGUGGUUCACAUAGUGAUUGAUAGGGGGCAUAGCUCGGGGGCAGAGCAUUUGACCGCGCACGUAGUGAUUGAUGGCAUGGAAUCUUUUUGAGUUUAUUUAUUUUGAGAGCAAGCGAGCAGGGGAGGGGCUGAGAGAGAGGAUGAGAGAGAGAAUCCCAAGCAGGCUCCGCCCUGUCAGUGCAGAGCCCGAUGCAGGGCUCGAACCCACGAACCACGAGAUCAUGACCUGAGCCAAAGUCGUGAGUCAGAGCUUAACUGACUGAACCACGCAGGCACCCCGAUUACGUGGAUUCUGAAGCUGAUCUGCUUGGGUUCAAACCCUGGCUCUGCCACUUACCAGUUAUGUGUCCUCGGCAAGUGACAUGACUUCUCUGUGCCUCUCUUUCUUCCUCUGUGAAAUGGAGACAACAGAAAUACCUGCCUUGUGGGGUGGUUUUUGUGUUCAAUGUGUUCAUGUGUGUAAAGUUCUUAAACCAGUGCCCGGCCGUUACGAGGUGCAGUAUUCAUGUUUGCUGUUCUUGUUUAUUUAUUCCCUCACCGAUUACUAAGAGACAACUCUAUGGCAGGCCCGGGGCUGGGUGGCCACCAGGGAUUCGGAUCUGAAGGACGAUCUCCAACCUUGCGGAGGUCACAGAUGCAUAAACGGGCAAUUGCAGUCAUGUGGUCAGUGUUGUGCAGGUUGCCUUGUCAUUGCGUUGAUGGUUUGUCUCCAUCGCUGGGCAGAAGCUUUUUAGUUUGACGGAGGCCCACUUGCUUAGUUUUGCUUUGGUUGCCUCUGCUUUUGGCAUCAGAUCCAAAAAUAGCAUCGCCGAGACGGAUAUGAAGGAGCUCGCCGCCUGUUUUUUCUUCUAGGAGAUUCAUGGUUUCAGGUCUUAUGUUCCAAGUUUUUCAUCAUUUUUCUGCAUGUGGCCGUCCAGUUUUCCCAACAGGAAAACAGAAAGCACGAGAUAAAGAAUGCAUUAUAAAAUAGAAAUUCUGGUACCUUUGCUCCCUCAAACUGAUGGCUCUUCUUGUGCAUUUCUUUAUUUUUUUAAUUUUUUUUUCAAAUUUUUUUUUUCAACGUUUAUUUAUUUUUGGGACAGAGAGAGACAGAGCAUGAACAGGGGAGGG